GCAAGUCGAACGGCAGCACGGGUGCUUGCACCUGGUGGCGAGUGGCCAAUGGGUGAGUAAUAUAUCGGAACGUACCUUAUCGUGGGGGAUAACGCAGCGAAAGCUGCGCUAAUACCGCAUACGCCCUGAGGGGGAAAGCGGGGGACCGUAAGGCCUCGCGCGAUUAGAGCGGCCGAUAUCUGAUUAGCUUGUUGGUGGGGUAAAAGCCCACCAAGGCGACGAUCAGUAGCUGGUCUGAGAGGACGAUCAGCCACACUGGGACUGAGACACGGCCCAGACUCCUACGGGAGGCAGCAGUGGGGAAUUUUGGACAAUGGGGGCAACCCUGAUCCAGCAAUGCCGCGUGAGUGAAGAAGGCCUUCGGGUUGUAAAGCUCUUUUGUCAGGGAAGAAACAGCAGCUCCAACACAGUCUGCGAAUGACGGUACCUGAAGAAUAAGCACCGGCUAACUACGUGCCAGCAGCCGCGGUAAUACGUAGGGUGCAAGCGUUAAUCGGAAUUACUGGGCGUAAAGCGUGCGCAGGCGGUUAUACAAGACAGGCGUGAAAUCCCCGGGCUUAACCUGGGAAUGGCGUCUGUGACUGUAUGACUAGAGUGUGUCAGAGGGGGGUAGGAUUCCACGUGUAGCAGUGAAAUGCGUAGAUAUGUGGAGGAAUACCAAUGGCGAAGGCAGCCCCCUGGGAUAACACUGACGCUCAUGCACGAAAGCGUGGGGAGCAAACAGGAUUAGAUACCCUGGUAGUCCACGCCCUAAACGAUGCCGACUAGUUGUUGGGAAUUUACAUUCUCAGUAACGUAGCUAACGCGUGAAGUCGGCCGCCUGGGGAGUACGGUCGCAAGAUUAAAACUCAAAGGAAUUGACGGGGACCCGCACAAGCGGUGGAUGAUGUGGAUUAAUUCGAUGCAACGCGAAAAACCUUACCUACCCUUGACAUGUCACUAA
rnacentral:rRNA from 1 species